GCAAGUCGAACGAGACCUUCGGGUCUAGUGGCGCACGGGUGCGUAACGCGUGGGAAUCUGCCCUUGGGUUCGGAAUAACAGUUGGAAACGACUGCUAAUACCGGAUGAUGACGUAAGUCCAAAGAUUUAUCGCCCAGGGAUGAGCCCGCGUAGGAUUAGCUAGUUGGUGAGGUAAAGGCUCACCAAGGCGACGAUCCUUAGCUGGUCUGAGAGGAUGAUCAGCCACACUGGGACUGAGACACGGCCCAGACUCCUACGGGAGGCAGCAGUGGGGAAUAUUGGACAAUGGGCGAAAGCCUGAUCCAGCAAUGCCGCGUGAGUGAUGAAGGCCUUAGGGUUGUAAAGCUCUUUUACCCGGGAUGAUAAUGACAGUACCGGGAGAAUAAGCUCCGGCUAACUCCGUGCCAGCAGCCGCGGUAAUACGGAGGGAGCUAGCGUUGUUCGGAAUUACUGGGCGUAAAGCGCACGUAGGCGGCGAUCUAAGUCAGAGGUGAAAGCCCGGGGCUCAACCCCGGAAUAGCCUUUGAGACUGGAUUGCUUGAAUCCAGGAGAGGUGAGUGGAAUUCCGAGUGUAGAGGUGAAAUUCGUAGAUAUUCGGAAGAACACCAGUGGCGAAGGCGGCUCACUGGACUGGUAUUGACGCUGAGGUGCGAAAGCGUGGGGAG
rnacentral:rRNA from 1 species